CCUACGGGCGGCAGCAGUAGGGAAUAUUGCUCAAUGGGGGAAACCCUGAAGCAGCAACGCCGCGUGGAGGAUGAAGGUUUUCGGAUUGUAAACUCCUUUUGUUAGAGAAGAUAAUGACGGUAUCUAACGAAUAAGCACCGGCUAACUCCGUGCCAGAAGCCGCGGUAAUACGGAGGGUGCAAGCGUUACUCGGAAUCACUGGGCGUAAAGAGCGCGUAGGCGGGAUAGCAAGUCAGAUGUGAAAGCCUAUGGGUUAACCAUAGAACUGCAUUUGAAACUGUUAUUCUAGAGUAUGGGAGAGGUAGGUGGAAUGCUUGGUGUAGGGGUAAAAUCCGUAGAGAUCAAGAGGAAUACUCAUUGCGAAGGCGACCUGCUAGAACAUAACUGACGCUGAGGCGCGAAAGCGUGGGGAGCAAACAGGAUUAGAUACCCGGGUAGUC
rnacentral:rRNA from 1 species